rnacentral:lncRNA from 1 species
GAUGCUGUAGACAGAAUCUCAUGAUCUUAAACCUACCAUCUAUUUGAGGGCUCCAAAUAUCUGAGAUUGGAAUACAGGCUACAUUCUUUAUUGCCAAACUGAAACCAUAUAUCUGGCUAGUCAUGUUCCCCGCAAGAAUGCAUUAUCUACACCGGAUCGAAUGCGUCACUUAACAAUGACACGUGGAGAGGAGCAAGUCAAUUUCGGGUAAAAGAUCUCAACAUUCAAAUGCAGAGUUCGCUAGUCGAGUACACCGCCUGAACCAUUCAGCCCAAAGUGUAGAUAAUCCAAACCAAACAAUUGGUUCUCUUACACAUGAAAAUAGUGAACAUAUACAGAUGAAGCAAAAGCUUGGCACUAUCGAGCAUGUCUCAAAGCUUACAGCAAUACCAUGACAACAGUUACCAUCAGAUAGAAGCCAUGAUUCAGCAUCUUUCGGUCAAUUCUAUCCCACUCGAUAGAUAAAUCGCUACAUUUUACUCCACUUUUUUUUAUCGGCAAAUACCUGCCUAGCCGAAAAGGCACAUGGCAGGUAUGGAUUAAGACUUCUCCAAAAAGGGUGAAGUCGAAGAGCAUCAGUCAGAAAGCCCACAUGUAUUGCUUCUCACACCAAUGUUUGCAGCUCCAAGUAUGAGAGGUCCACCCACAGCAGCAACAUAAGCAUAACCACCACAAACUCUUGAACAGACAGUCAUUCUGAAUCAGAGAUUUCUUCUUCAUACUCGUCCAGUAUGUAGAUCAGGGCCCACUUUCUUGCAGCUAAAACACAAGCCACACCUCUACCUCCCAUUGCCAAAAAAAAGAUCAACUUGAUUUCAGUCCAGUGUUCCUUGAAUGUAUGGCCAUAACUAACAUGAUGUUUAGAUACCUUUGUUGGGUAAAAGUAAUAUUACAACGCAUGCAUUACGCUAAAACACAGGCAGGAAGCAAACCUUAAUUGCCUAAAGAGGCUACAGCUUGCAUGUAACUAUGAAUGCUCCACAGUAUCUUGCUACACUAGAUGCCAUGAUAGUAUCUAUGGUCAUGAACUUGUAAAUAGUGGUUCUCAGUCAGUAACUCAAGACUGCUAUGCACCUCCCAUGAGAGAAUGAUUAUUCAUUUUGUAUUUGUCUGGUGACUAUUAAAUCAUUUCGCACUUUGUCCUCUCAAUUGAUUUAAAAUUUAGGGGAAAACUAAUACUUCAUUUUUUUUACUUCUUCGACUAAAAAAUAUUCUUCUUUGGAGCAUAUUUUUGCACUUCUUCAAUCUAUAGGGACAAACAUGAAGUGGUCUGUUAAAGAGGCACAGUGUACCUAAGCCAGUCACAUUUGAACUUAAUAGAAGGUUCUAAGUGGAAAUGUAGUAAGGAGCAUGGACAGGAUUAAUUCAAUUCCAAUACCCAGCCAACGAGAUAAAUUUGUUACCGACACUGGCAAGUUUAUUAAACAUUGAUCACUAAGGAAAGAGUAUGGGCAACAAUAAGUUUCCAGACAUCCAAAACUGCAAAUGGACAUGGCAAGAAGCCCAAAGAAAAACACUUCAGAACUAUACAAUUGAUGGCAUAGCAAUGAAUUGAUCCUUAGCUUGAUGGUAUGACUGUCAAAAUGUUCUUACCACCAACUGACAAGGGAGAACUACAGGACGGGGAAUGCUGCGAAGCUUCUCAUUCUCCAUCUCCAAG